GACGAACGCUGGCGGCGUGCUUAACACAUGCAAGUCGAACGGAAAGGCCCUGCUUUUGUGGGGUGCUCGAGUGGCGAACGGGUGAGUAACACGUGAGUAACCUGCCCUUGACUUUGGGAUAACUUCAGGAAACUGGGGCUAAUGCCGGAUAGGAGCUCCUGCUGCAUGGUGGGGGUUGGAAAGUUUCGGCGGUUGGGGAUGGACUCGCGGCUUAUCAGCUUGUUGGUGGGGUAGUGGCUUACCAAGGCUUUGACGGGUAGCCGGCCUGAGAGGGUGACCGGCCACAUUGGGACUGAGAUACGGCCCAGACUCCAACGGGAGGCAGCAGUGGGGAAUAUUGCACAAUGGGCGGAAGCCUGAUGCAGCAACGCCGCGUGCGGGAUGACGGCCUUCGGGUUGUAAACCGCUUUCGCCUGUGACGAAGCGUGAGUGACGGUAAUGGGUAAAGAAGCACCGGCUAACUACGUG
rnacentral:rRNA from 1 species